rnacentral:tRNA from 1 species
GGAGGGGUCGCAUAGCGGUUUAUUGCACCGGUCUUGAAAACCGGAGUGUCCUUUACGGAUACCGUGGGUUCGAAUCCCACCCCCUCCGCCA